UAUAAGCAUAGAAAUUGAAAACCAAGCC
rnacentral:piRNA from 1 species